UCUGAGGCUAUAGACAUGUGGGGUCUGGCUGCAUGCUCGGGUUCUCAUACCUUGGCAAACACGCAUUUGCAAGAGACUGCAAGUACGUGCCAAUGAGAGGCGUUGCAGAUGUUUUUGGCUGGCCAUCUGACCACCUCCUGCGUGCUGGAAAACACAACCACAAACUUUUCAAAGUGAACCAGCACUACAAUACCCAAGAUGUUAGAUGAAGACCCGGAGGGAAUACUAGCUUGGCACUUGAACCAAGCCCAAAACAUGGAAGAGUGCCUUUAUAAGUCAGGAUGACCUGAUAAUAUGACCUGGAUGACUGAGAAUCAUCACAGACAUCGUUUUCUUUGUUCUUCCUGGUAAAUUAUUUCAAAGUAAAUUUGAAUUUUUUAACUGAUUUCCAUAAAUAACAAAUUCACUUGAACUUC